UACGUACUCCCUCCGUUCCAAAUUACUCGUCGCAGAAAUGGAUGUAUCUAGAACUAAAAUACAUCUAGAUACAUCCAUACCUGCGACAAGUAAUUCGGAACGGAGGGAUUACUUU
rnacentral:pre_miRNA from 1 species